rfam:Felis catus isolate Cinnamon breed Abyssinian chromosome D2, whole genome shotgun sequence.
ACCUGGGUGGCCAAGUUGGUUAAGCAUCUGACUUCAGCUCAGGUCAUGAUCUCAUAGCUCGUGGGUUCGAGACCCACCUUGGGCU